UACGGGGGGGGCAAGCGUUGUUCGGAAUUACUGGGCGUAAAGGGCUCGUAGGUGGCCAACUAAGUCAGACGUGAAAUCCCUCGGCUUAACCGGGGAACUGCGUCUGAUACUGGAUGGCUUGAGUUUGGGAGAGGGAUGCGGAAUUCCAGGUGUAGCGGUGAAAUGCGUAGAUAUCUGGAGGAACACUGGUGGCGAAGGCGGCAUCCUGGACCAACACUGACACUGAGGAGCGAAAGCCAGGGGAGCAAACGGG
rnacentral:rRNA from 1 species